AUUGAACGCUAGCGGGAUGCUUUACACAUGCAAGUCGAACGGCAGCGCGGACUUCGGUCUGGCGGCGAGUGGCGAACGGGUGAGUAAUGUAUCGGAACGUGCCCAGUAGCGGGGGAUAACUACGCGAAAGCGUAGCUAAUACCGCAUACGCCCUACGGGGGAAAGCAGGGGAUCGUAAGACCUUGCACUAUUGGAGCGGCCGAUAUCGGAUUAGCUAGUUGGUGAGGUAACGGCUCACCAAGGCGACGAUCCGUAGCUGGUUUGUGAGGACGACCAGCCACACUGGGACUGAGACACGGCCCAGACUCCUACGGGAGGCAGCAGUGGGGAAUUUUGGACAAUGGGGGCAACCCUGAUCCAGCCAUCCCGCGUGUGCGAUGAAGGCCUUCGGGUUGUAAAGCACUUUUGGCAGGAAAGAAACGUCGCGGGCUAAUACCCCGUGGAACUGACGGUACCUGCAGAAUAAGCACCGGCUAACUACGUG
rnacentral:rRNA from 1 species